rnacentral:rRNA from 1 species
AGGGAAUCUUCCACAAUGGACGCAAGUCUGAUGGAGCAACGCCGCGUGAGUGAAGAAGGUCUUCGGAUCGUAAAGCUCUGUUGUUGGUGAAGAAGGAUAGAGGCAGUAACUGGUCUUUAUUUGACGGUAAUCAACCAGAAAGUCACGGCUAACUACGUGCCAGCAGCCGCGGUAAUACGUAGGUGGCAAGCGUUGUCCGGAUUUAUUGGGCGUAAAGCGAGCGCAGGCGGAAUGAUAAGUCUGAUGUGAAAGCCCACGGCUCAACCGUGGAACUGCAUCGGAAACUGUCAUUCUUGAGUGCAGAAGAGGAGAGUGGAACUCCAUGUGUAGCGGUGGAAUGCGUAGAUAUAUGGAAGAACACCAGUGGCGAAGGCGGCUCUCUGGUCUGCAACUGACGCUGAGGCUCGAAAGCAUGGGUAGCGAACAGGAUUAGAUACCCUGGUGAGUCCAUGCCGUAAACGA